GUCUUGGGCUUGGAUAAAUAUCCUCAUUCUAGCCUUCCAAUAGGUAUAGUUAGCUCCAUUGAAAAAUGGAGACCUAUUGGUGGAUUGCCCCUCACUAAGGGAAGAUCCAAAAGGGGUUGUCAUUUUAAUCUUUUACUCUUUUGGGGAUUGAAACACCAAUCGAUAUAAGAGCACCCGCUCUGAUACCACUUGUUGCCUAAGG
rnacentral:lncRNA from 1 species